UACGGAGGGGGCUAGCGUUGUUCGGAAUUACUGGGCGUAAAGCGCACGUAGGCGGUUUUGUAAGUUAGAGGUGAAAGCCUGGGGCUCAACUCCAGAAUAGCCUUUAAGACUGCAUCACUUGAACACGGGAGAGGUGAGUGGAAUUCCGAGUGUAGAGGUGAAAUUCGUAGAUAUUCGGAAGAACACCAGUGGCGAAGGCGGCUCACUGGACCGUUGUUUACGCUGAGGUGCGAAAGCGUGGGGAGCAAACAGG
rnacentral:rRNA from 1 species